UGGGGAAUAUUGGGCAAUGGGCGAAAGCCUGACCCAGCAACGCCGCGUGAAGGAAGAAGGCCUUCGGGUUGUAAACUUCUUUUACCAGGGACGAAGGACGUGACGGUACCUGGAGAAAAAGACCACGGCUAACUACGUGCCAGCAGCCGCGGUAAUACGUAGGUGGCAAGCGUUGUCCGGAUUUACUGGGUGUAAAGGGCGUGUAGGCGGGACUGCAAGUCAGAUGUGAAAACUCAGGGCUCAACCCUGAGCCUGCAUUUGAAACUGUAGUUCUUGAGUACUGGAGAGGCAGACGGAAUUCCUAGUGUAGCGGUGAAAUGCGUAGAUAUUAGGAGGAACACCAGUGGCGAAGGCGGUCUGCUGGACAGCAACUGACGCUGAGGCGCGAAAGCGUGGGG
rnacentral:rRNA from 1 species